rnacentral:snoRNA from 1 species
UGAUGAUGGUGAGGGUAAUUUUUGAGCAUACCCUUAAAUCUCUCCCAAGCUUGGUAGAGAAUCUCUCCUAAGCUUGGUAGAGAAUCUCUCCUUUUUGUCUAAAACUCAAGAUCUCACUUCUUAAGCG